CCGCCAAAGAAGGGCAACCAAGGGAACGUCCGUCAGGGGCGUGUUCACUACACAACUGUGGAAGCUAUCCCUGCUGGUGAGGUAGUUACUGCUGGUAAGUGUUGAUAUUUGGUAACGCAAUAAGGAAAUGAUCCGCAAGCGCACGGAUAUCGGUGGGCAUUUCACCCGGGAGGUUAUCCAGAGUUAUCGUAUUUAUAUUUUUACCACUGGGAGAAAGGGUGCAUCUGACUAACCAAAUCUAUUACUACUAUCCCUUUAGGCUACAAAGAAUGUUCCUCGAUGUGAGUGAUGUAUAGAGAAGACUGCAACCGUAGUCUCGUUCUAACCUUGGUAGGGAUGAUCCACUGUUCUAUUGGGGAAGCUUACGGAAUCUAGACACCACAACGGAUGUUCGACCCGCACCUAUAAACAUACCCGUCCUGCUAACG
rnacentral:lncRNA from 1 species